rnacentral:rRNA from 1 species
GAUGAACGCUGGCGGCGUGCCUAACACAUGCAAGUCGAACGAAGCAAUUAAAAUGAAGUUUUCGGAUGGAUUUUGAAUUGACUGAGUGGCGGACGGGUGAGUAACGCGUGGGUAACCUGCCUCAUACAGGGGGAUAACAGUUAGAAAUGACUGCUAAUACCGCAUAAGCGCACGGAUUCGCAUGAAUCUGUGUGAAAAACUCCGGUGGUAUGAGAUGGACCUGCGUCUGAUUAGCUGGUUGGCGGGGUAACGGCCCACCAAGGCGACGAUCAGUAGCCGACCUGAGAGGGUGACCGGCCACAUUGGGACUGAGACACGGCCCAA